GCGCUCGGUAUUCCGGAAUCACUCGGCUAAUCCACGCAGGGUGAGGGUCACUGACACUCCCACCCUCCCCACCGACCACAGCCGAGGACCUGCGCGUCGCCGGUGUCCGCUCUCCGUCUUCCGGGAACUCGAGGUCUAAUCACAGCUGAAUGUAAUGACGCCGUACCCCAGAAGCCCAGCGACCACAUGCAGCCGUAAAAACGAUUUGUCUGAUGUGCCGGAGGAGCCGAGAGAAUAAUUACCCACAGGUCUCUCCGUCGCAGUGAGAGGCAGAGGUGCUCUGACGACAGAAAACGCCUGGAGGCUCAGGAGGCCGCCAAUCUGUUCGGUGAAACAUCGGCGUGAGUGAAAGGACGCCCUGGCCUUCAGAGGUGAAAUGAUCCCGACGCAGGUUUACCAGCCGUCGUCUUCUCCGGUCGGGAUGGUUCUGAAACCCAUGAAGACUGAGUGCAUGCACAAUCGCACCAGGGUCUGGCAGGUGACACGAAUAAGUUAAGUGGACGAAUGAAAUUGAAUUACACGACGAGAGGUCAUGCUCAACUUAAACCAGGGAAGCGUUGUGUACCAGCCCUCCCAUCUAGUCACCACAUUACUGCUCACAUGUAACCGUGGAUCCGGUAUGUGCUCCUUUUUUCCCCCCCCGGCAGCAAAGCAGACAUUUUGUCAAGGAUAUAAAUACCUUUUGAUGUGCAGCGUUAACACACUCACUCUCUUUGCCUUUUUUUCUUCUUCUCUGUUUUGUAAGACGCUUGUGUGGGCGAGGAACACAGCGGGGGCCAUUUCAGUCAGACAGAACUGCUUCAUCCGGCUCGACUCUGCGUGAUCCUCCUUCUUCUGUGUGGUGGUAGAAGCACGUUGCCCUUCUCCUCUGCCACUCUGAAAACCUGCCUGUCGGCCUGGAUACUGUGUUCUUUUUACCCUUGCCUUUGCCCAGGAUCAUCUACAUGCUCUCAAUGCUACGUCGGACCCUCUGUUGAAAGCCUGAUGGACGCUGGACCUGAAAUCUUCGGGCUUUGCAAAAGACACUAACGGAACAGUGGAUUAUCUCUUUGUCUGGACGUCCAAUGUUCCCGUUACUAAUUACAGCAUUGAACCUUUGAAAACCACUUUGUCUCUGCUCCUGUGUUCUGCCUGGGAGUCUGACAUUUUACAAAUCAUCAGUCCAUAUACUGGGGAGAGGGAUUUCAUUAUAUUUCUUCUUUUCCUGACUUUGCAUAGUAUACAUAUACACUGUUAUAUAUAUUUUAUUAAGGAGUAACCCUAUCUCUUAAUAUAUAAUUCAAAACUCCUUUGCCAAUGCCAUAGUUUCUUUAAAACAAGUGAUUAGAGCUGCAACAGUUAAUCAAUUACUAAAUGAAUCGCCAGCUAUUUUGA